GAUGAAGAACGCAGCGAAAUGCGAUAAGUAAUGUGAAUUGCAGAAUUCAGUGAAUCAUCGAAUCUUUGAACGCACAUUGCGCCCGCUAGUAUUCUGGCGGGCAUGCCUGUCCGAGCGUCAUUUCAACCCUCAAGCCCCCGGGCUUGGUGUUGGGGAUCGGCGAGCCUCUGCGCCCGCCGUCCCCUAAAUCUAGUGGCGGUCUCGCUGUAGCUUCCUCUGCGUAGUAGCACACCUCGCACUGGGAAACAGCGCGGCCACGCCGUUAAACCCCCAACUUCUGAAUGUUGACCUCGAAUCAGGUAGGAAUACCCGCUGAACUUAAGCAUAUCAAUAAGCGGAGGA
rnacentral:misc_RNA from 1 species